UUUAUCCAGAAUCUUGUUGACAUUUUGUGUACUUCUUUUUUUUCUAAGGUUUUAAGGGGAAACAGUAGGGUCAUACUCUGUUUUGUUUAAACCAUAUAGGAUUGGAGAUGAGUGCACAAUCUAAUGGGGUGGGACUUCCUAUUCUCCCAACGGAGUGCUCGUGGCCACGGUUCUUCCCUACACUGAGCUGUGCUUCUUGUGUGCUUGGGUGGCAAUGUGCCGCUGGUUUGUAAUUAUGUCUGAAGCUUCAGCAGCAAAUCUUUGCCACCAGGAAACAAGUAUGAGAACAAAGAAUUGAUUCUAGCCAGCACUUGUCAUGUAGGAAGGAUCUCACCGAUUCCUGUAUGCUAAAUUCUAAGUGGGUUCAGGGAAAGGGGCAAAGGAGGCACAGUUGUGAGGCAUUUGCUUUUUAUGUGUUAACUGACUCUUCUCUACCCCUUUUUAGGGUUCUCUUGGAACGGUUGAUUGUAAAUAGGCCGCAUCCUUGGGGUCUUCUCAUCACCUUCAUUGAGCUGAUUAAAAACCCAGCAUUUAAGUUCUGGAACCAUGAAUUUGUACACUGUGCCCCAGAGAUCGAAAAGUGAGUUAAAAUGUUAAUUACCAAGCAGGGAAACAGAAAAGAAUGCUUCUAAUUUGGGUCUGAGUUAGAGGGCAGUUGUAGCUGUCACAUUGGAAUCUCCAGGCCUGAAGCUUGUCGUGCCGUUAACACAUGCUUGUCUCCCCUUCUCAGGCUGUUCCAGUCUGUUGCGCAGUGCUGCAUGGGACAGAAGCAGGCUCAGCAAGUGAUGGAGGGGACCGGUGCCAGUUAGAUGAACUGUGUAUAUCCCUUGCAGAGGCAUCAACCUUGGUCCCACUGAACCAAGUUCAUAAACUGAAGAAUCCUUUCAGCUCCUCCUGACUUU
rnacentral:lncRNA from 1 species